GUAAUGCGCACUAGUCUCUCUAGACUAUAUUUAAGAUUAUCUAGUUUAAUCUAGAACUUAUCUCUAGUGAUCAUGUAUGGUUGUAGAAAAAUCUAGAUUAAAUGUAAUUAAAUAUAAUCUAGUAUUGUUUAGAGUGAAAUCAUGUCAGUGGAGGUAAACCAAUGUCGGUUUACAACUCUAUAAAUAUGUAUCAAAGCUUGUAUCAUGAUGUAAUCAACCAAGCUAUCAAUACAAACUCUGUUUUUCUACAACAACUAAAUCUCCUCUGUUGCACACCUUCUCUAAUCCAAAUCUUCCAUUUCCUAAACACUCUUUGGCCUAAACACUAACUACCUUACCUUCUAGAAACCAUCAGUGGUAUCAGAGCAGUUCUGAUCUAUUCGAGGCGUGUCACCAUGGCGUCAUCUAUCUCCCACCAAAACUCCCUACCUCUUCCAAUCUUCUCCGGUGAGAACUAUGACUUUUGGAGCAUCAAAAUGAAGACUUACUUCAUGUCUCAAGAUCUAUGGGACAUAGUCGACAAAGGAUUCACAACUACAGAGAAUCCUUCGGUUGAGCAACUACGGCAAGAGAGGAAGGAGAAGCAAAGAGAUGCUAAUGCUCUUUACGCCAUCCAACAAGCAGUGGAUGAUGCGAACUUCUCAAGGAUCAUGGGAGCUUCUACAGCGAAGGAGGCUUGGGACUGGUUGAAGGAGGAAUUUCAAGGGACUGCUAAGGUGCGCUCUAUCAAAUUACAAACUAUGAGGAGAGAGUUGGAAAACUUGAAGAUGAAAGAUUCUGAGAUCAUUAAAGAUUAUUACUCUCGUCUUAAGGGAGUAGUGAAUCAGUUAAGGGCCUAUGGAGAAAACAUAUCUGAAACUAGAGUUGUUGAAAAAAAUACUUAUCAGUCUAACUGAGAAGUAUGAUCCGGUAGUUACUGCUAUAGAAAACUCUAGUGACAUAUCUCAACUUUCGGUGACUGAACUCAUAGGCUCAUUAGAAGAAAAAAGAUUGAGUAGCCGGGAUGAUACUCCACUAGAGAGUGCAUUUCAGUCUAACUCAAUCUACGAUCUACAGAAUUAUAAAGAGAAGAAAAGAAGAUAAAUGAUUAUACCUAGAGGAGGAGAAAAACUAAAAAUUGGGAAAAUAAAGAGACUUUAAGCAAAGAAGAACUUAUCCUCCAUGUGGGAUAUGUAAGAAUACCAAUCACAAAGAAGUAGAUUGCUGGUUUCGGGGUAAGCCGAAAUGCCGAAAUUGCAAUAGAUUUGGCCAUGUUGAAAAGAAUUGUCGGCUCAAGAAGAAGUAUCAAGCCAAUUUUUCAAAGGAGAAUGAAGAAGAUGAGCACCUAUUCUACUCAUGUGAAGCUGCAUCUGAGGAGAAAAACCAGACAUGGUAUGUAGAUAGUGGUUGUAGCAAUCACAUGUCAGGGGAUGAAUCUAUCUUCUCCAACCUUGAUACAUCAAGGAAGUUACGAGUGAAACUGGGGAAUGGUGCUUUGGUGCAUACAAAAGGUAAAGGUACGAUCUCCAUCCAAACUAAUUUAGGAACUAAGUGUAUUGAUGAUGUUUUAUUAGUUCCUAGUUUAGAGCAUAAUCUGUUAAGUGUUGGUCAAAUGAUGGAGAAUGGUUAUGUUCUAUUAUUCUCUGGAGACUCUUGUAAAAUAUAUGAUAAAAAAGAAGGAUGAUAUUUAAUGUAAAGAUGGAAAAUAGAAGUUUUCCUAUCCAAUGGUUACAAAUGGCCAUGAAGGCAGCUGUAGAUGAUUCAUGGCUAUGGCAUAAACGCUUUGGUCACUUCAAUUUCCAUGCUUUGAGAACUCUUUCUCAAAGAAAAAUGAUGAAGGACCUGCCAAGCAUAGAGGUGAUUGAAGAUGUCUGUAGAGCCUGCCAACUCGGGAAGCAGCAGAGACAAGCAUUUCCUUCUGGAAGAGAUUGGAGAGCAAAAGACUACUUGGAGCUUGUGCAUACGGACGUCUGUGGACCUAUGAGGACUCCAUGUCUUGAUCAAAGCAGGUACUUCAUUCUUUUCAUUGAUGAUUAUACUAGAAUGACAUAGGUCUACUUUCUACGUGAAAGGUCUGAAGUUUUCAAGAUCUUUCAAAAGUUCAAGAACCAUGUUGAAAAACAAAGUGGCCAUUACAUCAAAGCUCUUAGAAGUGACAGAGGUAAAGAAUAUACCUCUAAACAAUUCAACAAAUUUUGUGAAGAUGAAGGAGUAGAGCACCAACUAACAGUGGGCUAUGCUCCUGAACAAAAUGGAGUCUCUGAGAGAAAAAAUAGAACCGUGAUGGAGAUGGCAAGGUCAAUGUUAUGUGAAAAACACUUGCCAAAGACUUUUUGGGCAGAAGCUGUAUAUACAGCAGUCUACUUGCUAAAUAGAUGUCCAACAAAAACUCUACAAGACAAGACACAAAUUGAAGCUUGGAGCAACAAGAAGCCAUCAGCAAAGCAUCUCAAGGUCUUUGGGAGCAUUUGCUAUGUUCAUAUUCCAGCUGUUAAAAGACACAAGUUGGAAGAAAAAUCAGAAGUUGGUAUAUUAGUUGGCUACAGCUCGCAGGCUAAAGGUUACCGAGUAUACAAUCCAAAAAUGGAGAAGCUCAUGAUCAACAGGGAUGUUAAGUUCGAUGAAGCUGCCUAUUGGGAUUGGGAAAAAGAAGAAGUUAUGAAGAACAAAUUUGUCCCAACAGAAAAGCAGCAGAUUACAUCUCCUUUGCAUUCAAGGGAAGAAGAAUUUGAAGAAGAAACUUCAGAAUUUCCAGGUACGCCCUCUAUUACUCUUCCAUCUAAUCAAGAAGAAGAUGAUGUUCCAGAAUCUCCACCUAGAAGAGUAAAGUCAUUGAGGGAUAUAUACGAAACAUGCAAUUUCGUAUCUUUAGAACCUGAAAGUUUUGAAGCUGCAGUAAAACAAGAAAAUUGGAGAAAAGCCAUGGAAGAAGAAAUUAAAACAAUUGAAAAAAAUCAAACAUGGGAACUUGUAGAGCGCCCACCAAACAAAGAGAUAAUUGGUGUUAAAUGGGUCUAUAAGACCAAAGUCAAUCCCGAUGGCUCAAUACAAAAAUACAAAGCAAGAUUAGUAGCAAAAGGCUACUCACAACAGCCAGGGUUAGACUACAACGAGACCUUUGCACCUGUUGCAAGGCUCGACACAAUAAGGGCUCUUGUAGCUCUUGCAGCUCAAAAGAGAUGGAAAAUAUAUCAACUUGAUGUUAAGUCGGCUUUCCUAAAUGGUGAACUCGAAGAAGAAAUCUAUGUGGAGCAACCGCAAGGAUUCAUAAAGAAAGGAGGAGAAGACAAAGUGUUCCGGUUGAAGAAAGCUCUAUAUGGGCUUAAGCAAGCACCACGAGCAUGGAACAGUCGCAUCGAUAGAUACUUCAUCAAUGCUGGAUUCAAGAGGAGCAAGAGUGAGCCAACUCUCUACACCAAAACUCAAGGUAACUCUAUCCUCAUCGUCUCUUUAUAUGUGGAUGAUCUCAUUUAUACUGGUGAUAAUGAUGAAAUAAUUCAAGAGUUCAAACAAGACAUGAUGAGGACAUUGAGAUGAGUGAUCUCGGCCUAAUGCAUUAUUUUCUUGGUAUUGAGAUACACCAAGAAGCAAAUGGGAUUUUCAUAUGUCAAAAGAAGUAUACUGAAAAUCUCUUGAAGAAAUUCAAAAUGAAUGGGUGCAAGGCCGUGGCAACUCCACUCAUCACUAAUGAGAAAUUUAGAAAGGAGGAUGGCUCUCCGAAAGCGAAUGCAUCUAGCUAUAGAAGUCUCAUUGGAAGCUUACUUUAUUUGACUACAACUCGACCCGAUAUUAUGUAUGCAACAAGCCUUCUAUCGAGGUUCAUGCAUAGUCCAAGUCGGAUACAUUAUGGUGCCGCAAAGAGGAUCUUGAGAUAUCUACAAGGUACCAUUAAUUAUGGUAUCUGGUACCGGCCUACUUCAAAGACAAAGCUUGUUGGCUUUGAAUCAAAAUUGUUUGGCUACACGGACAGUGACUGGGCUGGAUCAAUGGAUGAUAUGAGAAGUACUUCAAGCUAUGCAUUCACUAUCGGGUCUGGCAUAUUCUCUUGGUCUUCAAAGAAACAAGAGACAACUGCCUUGUCGUCAGCUGAAGCGGAAUACGUUGCAGCAGCAAGCUCAGCAUGUCAAGCAAUNNNNNNNNNNNNNNNNNNNNAAUGGCGAAGAAUCCGGUAUGUCAUAACAAAACGAAGCAUAUCAAGAUCAAGCAUCACUUCUUGAGAGAAGCUUCAAAAAACAAAGAAAUUGAGCUCCACUACUGCAAGACAGAAUUACAGCUAGCCGACAUCUUCACUAAGGCACUCGCAAGAACAAGAUUUGAAAUACUGCGAAGCAUGCUUGGAGUAGCACCAAUGCGCAUUAAGGAAGAGUGUUAAACAGUAAUGCGCACUAGUCUCUCUAGACUAUAUUUAAGAUUAUCUAGUUUAAUCUAAAACUUAUCUCUAGUGAUCAUGUAUGGUUGUAGAAAAAUCUAGAUUAAAUGUAAUUAAAUAUAAUCUAGUAUUGUCUAGAGUGAAGUCAUGUCAAUGGAGGUAAACCAAUGUCGGUUUACAACUUUAUAAAUAUGUAUCAAAGCUUGUAUCAUGAUGUAAUCAACCAAGCUAUCAAUACAAACUCUGUUUUUCUACAACAACUAAAUCUCCUCUGUUGCACACCUUCUCUAAUCCAAAUCUUCCAUUUCCUAAACACUCUUUGGCCUAAACACUAACUACCUUACCUUCUAAAAACCAUCAGUUAAACGCGUCUAUGGAAUGUCAUUCUCAGUUCAUGGCUGCAAAAUCCCCUUCCAUAUUAAGUAGCGUUCAUGUGCUUACUGCUCCUUCUACCCCUUCAGCAUGGAAACCACCGACCCCUCGGUUCCUGAAGCUCAACUUUGACGGUGCAACAGAUCAUAAAAAUGGCAACAGUGGUCUAGGGGCAGUGUUCCGAGACCAUUUAGGUACUUUGAUUGCUGCCCUGGCCAUCCCAAUUGUUGGCCUACUCCCUCCUAGAACUGUUGAGAUUUUGGCUUUGUUAUAUGGCUUGCUGUUUGCUUCCCGUGCUUGUUUCUUUGCCUUGGAAUUCGAAGGAGAUGCUCCAAGUGUCACAAACACUCCAUGAGGACAGCUCUGAUCUCAGAUGGGAAGGUCACUUGUAUAUUAGAUGAUAUCAGGUUUCUUCUUCGUUACUUUCCUCGAUGUUCAUGGUGUUAUAUUCCUCGUGCAUCUAAUUUGGUGGCUCAUAAUCUAACCAAGCUCUUGAAGUUACAACUUUGAUUAAAAAAAAAUUAAAAAAAAAACUUUACGUAUUAACAAUAUUACGUACUAGUAAAGUCGUCGCAAAAAGAAGGGAAAAUUACGUACUAAUUGGUACUUGGUCACGCACCACUUGCCUUUUUAUCCAAACAAUUUACGGUGGCACCAAUUAGUCCGGAUCUGCAAUCUCU
rnacentral:lncRNA from 1 species